GGAGGGGUGGCCGAGUGGUAAGGCAGCGGCUUGCUAAGCCGUCGAGGUGAAAGUCUCUCGCAGGUUCGAUCCCUGUCCCCUCCG
rnacentral:tRNA from 1 species